rnacentral:rRNA from 1 species
AGAGUUUGAUCAUGGCUCAGAACGAACGCUGGCGGCGUGGAUUAGGCAUGCAAGUCGUACGCGAAAGAGGGAGCAAUCCUUCGAGUAGAGUGGCGAACGGGUGAGUAACGCGUGAGAAACCUGCCUUCAUCAGGGGGAUAACACUCCCAACGGGGUGCUAAUACCGCAUGAGACCACGGGAUCGCAUGGUCCUGAGGUCAAAGGUGGCCUCUAUUUAUAAGCUACCGGAUGGAGAUGGUCUCGCGUCCCAUUAGCUAGUUGGCGGGGUAAUGGCCCACCAAGGCGACGAUGGGUAGCUGGUCUGAGAGGAUGGUCAGCCACACUGGGACUGAGAUACGGCCCAGACUCCUACGGGAGGCAGCAGUCGAGAGGCUUCGGCAAUGGGGGAAACCCUGACCGAGCGACGCCGCGUGGGGGAUGAAGGCCCUUGGGUUGUAAACCCCUUUUGUUCGGGAAGAAAUGCGAUCAGGUGAACAAUCUGGUCGUUGACGGUACCGGACGAAUAGUC